AGAGUUUGAUCAUGGCUCAGAAUCAACGCUGGCGGCGUGCCUAACACAUGCAAGUCGAACGCGAAAGCCCCGCAAGGGGUCAGUAGAGUGGCAAACGGGUGAGUAACACGUGGGUGACCUGCCUUCGAGCGGGGGAUAACGUCCCGAAAGGGACGCUAAUACCGCAUGACAUCCUGCCUUUGAAGAGGUGGAGAUCAAAGCUGGGGAUCGCAAGACCUAGCACUCGAAGAGGGGCCCGCGCCUGAUUAGCUAGUUGGUGGGGUAAUGGCUCACCAAGGCAACGAUCAGUAGCCGGCCUGAGAGGGCGGACGGCCACACUGGGACUGAGACACGGCCCAGACUCCUACGGGAGGCAGCAGUGGGGAAUUGUUCGCAAUGGGCGCAAGCCUGACGACGCAACGCCGCGUGGAGGACGAAGACCUUCGGGUCGUAAACUCCUUUCGAUCGAGACGAAUGGCUUCCGGGUGAACAAUCCGGAGGAAUGACGGUACCGAGAGAAGAAGCCCCGGCUAACUCCGUGCCAGCAGCCGCGGUAAUACGGGGGGGGCAAGCGUUGUUCGGAAUUACUGGGCGUAAAGGGCUCGUAGGUGGCCAACUAAGUCAGACGUGAAAUCCCUCGGCUUAACCGGGGAACUGCGUCUGAUACUGGAUGGCUUGAGAUUGGGAGAGGGAUGCGGAAUUCCAGGUGUAGCGGUGAAAUGCGUAGAUAUCUGGAGGAACACCGGUGGCGAAGGCGGCAUCCUGGACCAACACUGACACUGAGGAGCGAAAGCCAGGGGAGCAAACGGGAUUAGAUACCCCGGUAGUCCUGGCCCUAAACGAUGAAUGCUUGGUGUGGCGGGUAUCGAUCCCUGCCGUGCCGAAGCUAACGCAUUAAGCAUUCCGCCUGGGGAGUACGGUCGCAAGGCUGAAACUUAAGGAAUGACGG
rnacentral:rRNA from 1 species